rnacentral:rRNA from 1 species
UUCGCAAUGCCCGAAAGGGUGACGAAGCGACGCCGCGUGCGGGAAGAAGGCCUUCGGGUUGUAAACCGCUGUCGGGAGUUAAGAAAUGCAAGGAUAUUAAUAGUGUCUUUGCUUGACUAAGGCUCCGGAGGAAGCCACGGCUAACUCUGUGCCAGCAGCCGCGGUAAUACAGAGGCGGCAAGCGUUGUUCGGAAUUAUUGGGCGUAAAGAGCACGUAGGCGGCUAUGUAAGUCGGUUGUGAAAGCCUUCCGCUCAACGGGAGAACAGCAUCCGAUACUGCAUGGCUUGAGUGCGGGAGGGGAGAGUGGAACUUCUGGUGGAGCGGUGAAAUGCGUAGAUAUCAGAAGGAACGCCGGCGGCGAAAGCGGCUCUCUGGCCCGUAACUGACGCUGAGGUGCGAAAGCUAGGGGAGCAAACGGGAUUAGAUACCCCGGUAGUCCUAGCCGUAAACGAUGGGCACUAAGUAGAGGGGUUUU